rfam:Leersia perrieri chromosome 5, whole genome shotgun sequence.
AAUACAUGUCGUCGUUGACUUUUAAGCACAUGUUUGACCAUUCGUCUUAUUCAAAAAAUUUAUGCAAAUAUUAUUUAUUUUCUUAUAAAAUGGUUUAUUAUUAUAGAUAUUUUAAACAUGACUUGUAUUUUUAUAUAUUUGUAUAAAUUUUUUGAAUAAGACGAAUGGUCAAACAUGUCAUAAAAAGUUAACGGCGACAUGUAUU